rnacentral:lncRNA from 1 species
UCAGCGUGCUGGACGGGCGUAUGGCCUACCUGCACGGCGCCUACACCGGCUACGUGGGCUUCUGGACCAACUGCAAGAAGCAUACAUGUGCCGACCUGCGCCAAGUCACGGUUCUCAUCCACAUGAGCAUGGGCUUCAUGAUCCUGGCCGUGAUCCUGGCUCUAGUUCUCCUCCUGGCCAUGGGCUUCUCCUUCCGGCCAGCACUCCGCCGUCUUAACAAGACUGACCUCGUCUUCAGUACCCUCAGCUCCUUCACUGUGCAGGGCUCCUGA